GAUGAACGCUGGCGGCGUGCCUAAUACAUGCAAGUCGAGCGAACAGACGAGGAGCUUGCUCCUCUGACGUUAGCGGCGGACGGGUGAGUAACACGUGGAUAACCUACCUAUAAGACUGGGAUAACUUCGGGAAACCGGAGCUAAUACCGGACAAUAUAUUGAACCGCAUGGUUCAAUAGUGAAAGACGGUUUUGCUGUCACUUAUAGAUGGAUCCGCGCCGCAUUAGCUAGUUGGUAAGGUAACGGCUUACCAAGGCAACGAUGCGUAGCCGACCUGAGAGGGUGAUCGGCCACACUGGAACUGAGACACGGUCCAGACUCCUACGGGAGGCAGCAGUAGGGAAUCUUCCGCAAUGGGCGAAAGCCUGACGGAGCAACGCCGCGUGAGUGAUGAAGGUCUUCGGAUCGUAAAACUCUGUUAUUAGGGAAGAACAAAUGUGUGAGUAACUAUGCACGUCUUGACGGUACCUAAUCAGAAAGCCACGGCUAACUACGUG
rnacentral:rRNA from 1 species